CAGGGAGACAACAAAAUGUUUAAUAUUAUUAUUUUGUCACCUUAGGUCGAUCGGUAUCUCACGUUCUUAAUUUUAUUAAGAAUUUCAUUUCCUAAGUUUUUCUAGGUCACACCCAUUAUUUUUCCUGGGCCAUUAGCUCAGGUGGGUAGAGCGCACCCCUGAUAAGGGUGAGGUCCCUGGUUCAAGUCCAGGAUGGCCCAUAUCUCUAUGUUGGGGGUAUAGCUCAGUUGGUAGAGCGCCUGCUUUGCAAGCAGGAUGUCAGCGGUUCGAGUCCGCUUACCUCCACUGAUUACCACCUCUUUCAUAAUCUGUAGAAAGGAAAGUUUUGAGUUGUGAUCAAAUUCUGAACGAAUCUAGCUUCCUAAUGAAAUCAUUAAGAUGCUGGACUCAUUGAAUUAAUUUCAUUGUUUUCAGAGAACCUUGACAACUGCAUAGAUUAUUUUUAAAGACAAUAAGCAUCUUUAAUGAUGCAGAUUUAUUAUUUGUGCGAAUGCAUUAAUAACAAUUCUAUUAAGCUGAUGCUUCAAUUUUGAAGUUAUC
rnacentral:tRNA from 1 species